UGAGAACUUACUCAGAGAUUUUAGUCUACUCAGGUGUGAACUUAAUCAAAAGUUUAGUCUACUCAGGUGUGAAUUAAGAAUGGUCAGUCCUUUGGAAAACUUCUACUGUGAUUGGUAGAUGUGAGAACUUAGGGGAGGCGACAUAGGAGAAAAUUCCCUUUAAAAGGAGGUCAAAAAGAGGUCUCUGGAGAUUCAGCUGAGAAAAGCUGAAUUGGAGGAGGCAGCUGGCCAAAGCUGCCUUGAAGGCACUCUUUUGGGACUCCCUCUCAGAGAACUCUCUGGAGAUUGAGCUGGCCAAAGCUGAACUGGUGUCUCUCUGAACACUAGAAUCUUGCUUGGACAAAUCUUGUGGUUAUCAUAUUUUGAAGUCCCAUCAAGAUCCCAAAGUUUCUGUGUCCUGGACCACCUGCUAAAAUGACACCAGAUGUGGGGAGCCCACAGGAACCAAUUAAAUUCCAGUCUGGGCUUAACUUGGCAGAUUGACUGGAUGAGAAAACUGAGACAAAGAGGUAUUAGACGACUUCCCCAAGGCCACAAAACUAGAUGGGAGCUUGAUGCAUGUUGCAAUGACUGAACAACUAUCCUGCGAUGGAUGCUUCUCACCUUGGUUCCUAAUAAGCCUAAAGCCAACUCUAACAUACAUAAGGAAGCCUGGAGGAACACACUUUGGGGAAAAUGAUGACUUUGGUUAAUGGAGAUGUUGAGUUAAAAAAAAAUUAUUCAAGUUUGGGAAAAUUGUUACAUUAUACAAAAUUAUAUUACAUAUGAUGUAUAUGCAAUUUGGGAUAAUUAUUCAGAAUAAUAUGUUUUCAGAUUCUGUGACAGAAAUGGCCAUCAUAGGUGAGAACAUAAACUGUAUGGGUAAAUUCUAUAGGAAGAAUUGAUAUUCCUAUUACUUGUAAAAAAGAAAAUUCAGUGCUCAUAAACAAGCUACAUAACAAAGAAAUUCCAUUCUAAAAUUUAAUUUAGCUUUUAGAGCAUGAAGAUCCCCGUUUUUACACUUAAAACACUCCAUGAUUCUGCACGGCAUUCCCCAUGUCUCACCCUUCAGUUUCACACUCCUUGUAUGGCUUAAUACAGGAAAUGUACCACAUAAAUAACAAAACAUACUGAAUUAACCCAGCCCCAAUCCUACUUCAGAUACAAAUUCCCAUGGAAACCUUACUAACCAGGUGGGAGUAAAGUCAAAUUUUUUUAGGCCCUCAGCUCGAUUGCCAUUAAAAGCUAGGAAUUUUAUUUCCAUGUCCCAACACUUUUUUGAAUCAGCCCUGAGUAUAAGAAAGCCACAAUUCUUCCCAAAUCUUUUGCUUUGAAGAUAUCUAACUGUAUUUGAAAAUGGAAUAUAUUUUCAUAUUUUCUGUUAAAUUAUAUCUGUAAAUCUUUUUGGAAGGCAAACACUGUGACACAACCUUUUAGCUCCUCAAAGAGGGGGAUGUGGGAUAUGCAAAAAUGACUGCAAAUAACUACUUUGCACCUACGUGUUUGCAUCCUCAAUCGCUCUCCCCUCCCCCCUCCGCGUUCUGGAGGUAAAGGUUUAUU
rnacentral:lncRNA from 1 species